CCAGUAGUCCUAGCCGUAAACGAUGGAUACUAGGCGUGGCUUGUAUCGACCCGAGCCGUGCCGUAGCUAACGCGUUAAGUAUCCCGCUUGGGGAGUACGCCGGCAACGGUGAAACUCAAAGGAAUUGACGGGGGGCCCGCACAAGCGGGGGGAGUAUGUGGUUUUAAUUCGAUGCAACGCGAAGAACCUUACCAGGGCUUGACAUGGAACUGCAAGCGGUAGAAAUAUCGUCGCCUUCGAGGGUGAUCCACAGGUGCUGCAUGGCUGUCGUCCAGCUCGUGUUGUGAAAUGUUGGGUUAAGUCCCGCAACAACGAGCGCAACCCUCAUGUUCUGUUGCCAGCGGGUAAUGCCGGGAACUCGGAACAAACUGCC
rnacentral:rRNA from 1 species